GUGUUAGUACAGUGGUUAGUACACUUGACAUGGAUACAAGAGACAUGGUUUCAACUCCCAUAGGACACA
rnacentral:tRNA from 1 species